rnacentral:rRNA from 1 species
GAUCAUGGCUCAGGAUGAACGCUAGCUACAGGCUUAACACAUGCAAGUCGAGGGGCAGCGGGAUUGAAGCUUGCUUCAAUUGCCGGCGACCGGCGCACGGGUGAGUAACGCGUAUCCAACCCUCCGUACACUCAGGGAUAGCCUUUCGAAAGAAAGAUUAAUACCUGAUGGUAUGAUGAGAUUGCAUGAUAGCAUCAUUAAAGAUUUAUCGGUGUACGAUGGGGAUGCG